CCUCCCGGCAUGAUCCACCAUCUGAAGCUGAUGACAUGCAUCUUGUCUGACUUCCCAUUAAAACAAAGCUCCAUGAGGACAGGGACCACACUGCGUCAUCCAUCCUAGGCCAGGCACGGGGCAGGAGCUCGGCCAACGCCAGGGGUGUCAUGGGUUACACCCGACACUAGUUUCCAAACAGACCCGAAGAGCCUCAGGGCACACAAACGGUUGGAACUCAGCCAUUAUCCACCAGCUGCCGUAAGACGUGUGAGAAAAAGCCGGCCAAAGAGCUUACCACAAAAUGCAGCAAUUCAUUCCAUCAGCCAGCGGCAAAGGAUCUUAGAAAAUAAAGCUGUGCUCAUCAGUGGCUCUCCCGCAGCAAAGAGAAGAGCGCGGCGUCCGCGCUUCCCCAAAAGGGAAUUCUGGCUUUGCACCCGGCAGGCAGGAGAGCGGAACAUCCGACACCAGGCAAGGCCGGCCCGGCUCUGUGUGGGGAGUGUGGGAGUGUCACACCAGUUUUAGGCUCAAUCUGCACACAGGAGUCGAGCUUUGUUUUUGUGUGUUUAAGACAGAGUCUCACUCCGUCGCCCAGGCUGGAGCGCACAGUCUCAGCUCACUGCAACCUCCGCCUCCCAGGUUCAAGCGAUUCUCCUGACUCCACCUCCUGAGUAACUUGGAUUACAGGCGCCCGCCACCACGCCCCGCUAAUUUUUGUAUUUCCAGUAGAGACAGGGUUUCACCAUAUGGGCCAGGCUGGUCUCAAACUCCUGACCUCAGGUGAUCCGUCCACCUUGGCCUCCCAAAGGGCUGCGAUUAUAGGCACGAGCCACCGUGCCCGGCCCAGCUUUAGUUUUUGAGCUAAGACCAGCAGGCAAGAAAGAGCAGCUGGCCAGGCAGGGCGCCCAGAGAGGUUCCUUCCCAGGUGAAAUGCCCACUUCACAGACAGAGCUGCGAUGCCUGUAGCUCCAUCCCGGAAGCUGUGUAUCAGAUGCCACCAGCGCCCACGGGGGAUAUUCUCAUCCCAGGGCUACAGUGGGAUUAUCUUCUCCCCUCAUUAGCUGAGCGGGAUAGAAAAUAAAACCCCGAAGCUAUAGCUUACAGGACACGCAACUCCGCAGAAGCAAUGCGAGGAACCCCACCCAGAAAAGCCAAAGCCACCUCGUACCCGUCCCCAGGACUCACUUCCCGGGGACUUACCAGCUCCACCAGGAAGGCAGGGACCACUCCGCCCGCUUUGGAGAAGGCCCAGGGGAAGUUGAGCAGGCCAGCUCCCAGCGCGGACUUCAUGAGGAUGAAGACAGCGCCCAUCGAGGACAGAGUGGCAGCAGCCGUGGCAGGAAAGGCCCACCCAGAUAAUCCAAGAUGAUCCCAUCUCAAGAUCGUUACUUAUAUCUGCAAAGACCCUUUUUCCAAAUAACGUUAACAGUCACAGGUUCCAGGGCGUGGCAUAAAUCUCUCUACUGGGGGCCACCAUUCAGCCCACUACACCCCUCACAUCUGAGAUCUGUUUGAGUUCUCAUCAGUCAUUCAACAAACACUGAGUGCCUACUGUAUGCAGGCACUGGAGCUCAAAGGUGAAAGAGAAGGCUCCUCCAGAGAAGGGGACGGUCCCGUGGGGAGCUCAAGAAGAGACAAGCCACCCAAGCCCAAUGGGAGGACCGGACUACGAGACCCAAGAAUGGAGGUGAAUCUGGAGGGGCUUCCUGGAGAAAGUGUGGGGGCUGAGGGGAUAUCUGUGCACCAUUGGUGAAGGGCUGGGAGGAUGUUCUGGGAAGUGGAGACUCCCAGUGGCAGGUGCAUGAGCCAGUGCUCCCGGGAAGGGCCCCGGGGACUGGGGUUCCCUAGGAUAGAGACCUAGGUCAGCGCUGAGCUGGGAAAAGGCUUAAACUCUUGUGUCCCACUCGCUGGAGGGUCACUAAACCAUGUGGAGAUGGCACUGGACACAGCAGGGAAGGAGGGGGCUGCGGGUGACACCGCAGGCAGGGCCCGUGCAGUACCCAGGCUGGGAGAGGGCGGGGACCACACGCAGUAUUCACACAGCUCUCCGAGGCCUGCCAAAGAGGCCAAGUCAUUCCCGCUUCCCCCCAAAUCCAGCCUCCUGAGAAAGGAGAUAAAGGGCCCUUCAGCAGCGGCUGGGGGCUUUGCAGUCCUUAAUCUCCGCUCGGGGGCUGGGGGGACACUUCCCUGUCCCUGCCGGUGGGU
ensembl:lncRNA novel transcript, antisense to SLC38A8